rnacentral:rRNA from 1 species
UACGUAGGUAGCAAGCGUUGUCCGGAAUUAUUGGGCGUAAAGCGCGCGCAGGCGGCUUCCCAAGCGCCACGUGAAAGCCCCGGGCUCAACCCGGGAGGGUCGCGGCGAACUGGGAGGCUUGAGGCCGGUAGAGGUGGGUGGAACUCCUGGUGGAGUGGUGAAAUGCGUAGAGAUCAGGAAGAACACCCGUGGCGAAGGCGGCCCACUGGGCCGGUGCUGACGCUGAGGCGCGAAGGCGUGGGGAGCGAACGGG